GUCUCCACGAAUGCGGUGAAAAAAGGAAGAGUCGCUUCGCUCAUGUUUCCCUUGACGGCACACAAGAUCCCAAUUUCCCUGGAGAAUCGUGCGGAUUUUUUGCGGGGUGAAAGCGCAUCUUGAACACCAAGCAAGACUAGAUAACCCGCGCAGCGCCACCCAGACAGCAAGCCGUCCUUCGACCGCCUACAUAGAAGAGCUGCUUCUUCUUGUUUUGCUGGAAUAACUAGAAGCAAUCUCGCGUGCAUGGGCCUACAUAAUGUACCGUAUCGGUAUCUAUUACUUGUAGGAGAACGCAGAUAUGUACUCCUCAGCAAAGUGCCGCACCCCAUGGUCACGGAAAUUGUUCAAAGCUUGUACCGUGGACGGGCGAUGCCACUUAGCUUGUGUUUUUUGUGAUAUGGAGCUUUCUAGCACUCCAACGAAGAGAGAAACCUCCAUCCUGCGGCAAUCCUAAGCGCCUUUAUCUUGGUUUAGAGGUGAGAGUUCUCACAGUGACAGAUCUGGCAGUGACAAGCUGACUGUUUGCAUAGAAAAUUUGUUUUCUUUUUGUUUCCCGUAUUAGCUAAUCCUUAAGCCUCAAUACGUCUACCUGUCAGAUCCUUACACCUCAGAAGAUGCACAAUCGAAACGCUGAAUAAUGUGGAAAACUGCUACUUAGAAGUCAGUAUGAUCAGUACUAUCGUACUGGGAGUAAUCGACUCUGAGACGCUCAUAAGAGUAACUGAUGUAACGGGCCGCAGCAACUUCUCUUUAAUACUGUCUACGACGUUUACUCGGCGUGAUCCACCUCGCACGGCCUGCGUGAUGCUCUGAGAAGCAUCGAUUGUUCUAUUGGCUCUACUGACACCCCCUCUGAGUCCAGCAGGAUUAGGGAGAUCGUAAGUUUAUAUUUACAGUCCUUUCUUGUUUCACGAACGAGACACUUCCUUCGCAGAUAUUUCUUCACCGUGCCUACAGUGGAGAUGAUAUGGGUGCUGCUUUGUCAUAGAGAUACUCCAGCAGGGUCACAGGGUAGCACAGCCUGCUUCGGUGCUAUGACUCCUGAUGAAUGGACAAAGACGCCACUACAAAAGAGGCGCCAAAUGUCUUCGGUGAUUCUUUUCUGAGAUGAGAUGUAUGUUUCUAUAAUGAGCAACUGCCCAAUUUGCGUUGUCAGAUGACGAUGAAAUCGAGAUCCCACGGCCAUGCAAAGCUGUCAUCGUGGGCGUGAUCGUUAUCCUGAAACCAGUCACUAUCAUCAGAUUCUAAACUGUCUUCGAAUUCCCAAGAGUCUACGCCAAGCAGCGCGCCGUUUCCCCUGUCGAACCCUACCCGCGGAAGUAGGAGAUCCUCCAGCGUUUCCUUAGAGACAGAACCAUCACUUAGGUGAGUGAAAACAUUCCCCGAGUCUCCCCCAACUUUGUCAUGCGCCUGGAAUUCUCGGGUGUCGAGUGUAGGAAUCUCCCAUUUCAGAACAGCAUCACUGGAUCCGUCUCGUGUGUCAGCUUCCAUGGUCAGACUGUCAGCUAACAAGUCCAAAAAGCGGAUGUUCGACGUUAAUAGAGGGUGACGCUCACCCUGCCCACCAGCAUCCUUAUCCCUUUUAUUCAUUUCAUCUGCUAAUGCCACAAGUGGCUGGUGAAGAAAAGGAGAGUUGUCAACUGCCCUCGCAGCAUACUCAGCUGUUUUCCUUUCAGAGGAAAACACAUUGCCAUCACGGCUUGUUUCGUCGUCUAGCUGAGCUUGGGGGGGUUCUUCGGGAAGGACGAUCUCGUGGCCGCGAUCCUCAAGCUGCACUUGAAGAUACUCUUUCCAUAGGGCUCGCUUAUGUUCUAAGGGGACGUUAUCGAAUGAGUACUGGAAAACGAUGUCUUGCAGGGUGCCCACGUCGGGCUUCUUCUUUGCUUCUUCUGCUCCUUCUCGCUCUACCUGAUCAUAAAAUGCUGAUAAGGCUGCCGCAUUUUCUGCAUACCGGACGGCAUCUAAAACGGCGGGGCCAUCGUUUUCCAACCCGCCUUUCGCGCUGUCCCGCGGAUGGUUCUGCCCUGACAAGGCCAACCGCAAAGAGUUUGUGAACAGAGGAAAAUGAAUUGAUCUUUUCCUCAUCUUUUCCUCCAGUAUUUCAUUCAGCUUCCGAUCUGCAAAGACUGUGGAAUCGGUCAGCCACUCCAUUCUACCGUGGGCAGUGGCUUCAGCUAGGCCCCCAAUACCCUGAGUUCGCCGUCCAGCGGAGCCCGGCACGAGACUCGCAAUAAAAGAGCGUGAAUAGGCCGGGUACAGAAAGCGCUGCAGUGCAGUCGCUACUGUUUCUUCUGGGUCAUCGAACACCUCAAACCCUCCCACAACUUUGCGUUUUCCCUUAGGUCUUUCCCUGUUCUCCACCUUGGGACUGAACGGGGAAUUUCCUUGCAGAGCUUGUGGUGGUUUCUUUGUCUUAGACACUGGGUACUCUUUGGUGGGUGGUUGAACAGGGAUUUGAUGAAAGUGGGUGUUCACUCCUAGUCGCUCUCCAAGGGAAUCGCUGCCUUCCAUGACUGACGCGAAUACACUUGCCGUCAUGCGGUGCUCUAUCGCACGGCUUCCGGCACCAUACUUUUUGUAUCGGUGACGCAGCUCGAAUUCCAGGGACCCGUGCUGCUGGAUCAGGCGAUGGCUCUGAAGGGAAACAAGUGAUUCCAGGAAAGCUGUGAGACGCUGCUGUUGCUCCAAGAGUUCCUGCACGUGGGUCGCUAGUACUACGAGUUCUGUCGGAUUACCAAAUGCCAGAUCAUGAACGGAAGAGCUACCUUUCUUUCUGUCAUGUUUCACCCCUUCGCUGUGACCGGCCACACCUUCCUCAGUUGUUCGAGCCCGACCUUGCCACUCUUCCAAACUCUGUUGGUCACUUCGCGAGCCGCGAGAAUCCGUCGCACCGAGGAGUACAUGUCGAGGAACUAAGCGGACGACACUGAGACUUGCGAGCUGUUUUUGAAGCGUAUCGACGGUCUGUUGGAGACUUGCCAAACCCCUGCGGAACUCCGUUUUUGCUUCUCGCAAGGAAUCUCUGUGGGUCUCCUCUUGUCCUUUAUUUCUCCCUCUCGAAGAGAGGAGGAGCAGUCGACGGUGCUCAAGUUCCUCGUAGCGCCUCCACUCUUCACCUAGCGAUGCCUGCUGGUCUUUAGCUCGACCUAAAAGCUUUUCAAGUGCCUCUUUGGUGGCUGUCUCAAUGCCACUGGCGACUGCCACAACUUCCCUUUGACGUUCGUGCAGCGCAGAACGUCUCGAAUCUGUAAGUGGGAGCUUUGGAGACGGGUUGAUCCAUUUGUGUUUCUGGAAGCCCUCAAUCUUCAGUUUGCCCUGUAUUCUUUUUUGUCCUCCUUUUGGCUGUGUCCCGAUGCCGCCCUGAUGGGAUUGACCAUCACCUGAUGUAAAUUGCUGUUCAGCAGCCUGCUUUUCAGUCAUUGAGAAGCCCUGCAGCUGUCGCGGCUUCUCUGAAGACAGGGACGGAUUCCGUUUAGACUGUCUGGCAACGUCAGAGUCUGUUGCCUGGUCCACAGGGUUUCUGAAUUUUCCCUCUAAACCGGUAGCUCUGCGCUUGUCUCCCACUUUCUUCCCACUCUUUUCAUCCUGCGUCAAAGUCCCAACCACAUUAUGCUGCUCCUUGAUGGUUGACUCUCUUCCCAACUGCACCUCCGCUAACAUCUCAGGGAUAUGAGCAAGGCUUUUGGUCGAGAUGUUGGUGUACCAAAGUGGGUUAUCAACCACUGUAACGUGAGCAAGAACAAGAGAUGCAGUGUCAUCCGUCGUUGAUAACGGUGCAGAAUAUCGUGGCGACGAAUGAUUAAGGAACACGGGAGUGGCAUGCUCUGGUGAUGUUUGUGAAUCCAGAACUCUCCGAUUCGUUGGAGUGCCCGAAACAUCUAAGUGAGCAGCCG
rnacentral:lncRNA from 1 species